rnacentral:rRNA from 1 species
GACAGAGGGUGCAAACGUUGUUCGGAUUUAUUGGGCGUAAAGAGCGUGUAGGCGGCCAUGUAGGUCCGGUGUGAAAACUCGAGGCUUAACCUCGAGAUGUCAUCGGAAACCAUUUGGCUAGAGUCCGGAAGAGGAGAGUGGAAUUCCUGGUGUAGCGGUGAAAUGCGCAGAUAUCAGGAAGAACACCAAUGGCGAAAGCAGCUCUCUGGGACGGUACUGACGCUGAGACGCGAAAGCGUGGGGAGCGAACAGG